rnacentral:rRNA from 1 species
GACGAACGCUGGCGGCGUGCUUAACACAUGCAAGUCAAGGGGGCCCAGCAAUGGGCAACCGGCGAACGGGUGCGUAACACGUGAGCAACCUACCGAACUGUGGGGGAUAGCCGGCCUAACGGCCGAGUAAUACCGCAUACGCUCUCAGUGAGGCAUUUCAUUGAGAGGAAACCUACGGGACAGAUCGAGGGGCUCGCGGCCUAUCAGCUAGUUGGCGAGGUAACGGCNCACCAAGGCAACGACGGGUAGCUGGUCUGAGAGGAUGGCCAGCCACAUUGGGACUGAGAUACGGCCCAGACUCCUACGGGAGGCAGCAGUGGGGAAUCUUGCGCAAUGGCCUAACGGCUGACGCAGCGACGCCGCGUGUGGGAUGAAGCUCUUCGGAGUGUAAACCACUGUUGCCCGGGACGAACAGCUCGAUUAGUCGAGCCUGACGGUACCGGGUGAGGAAGCACCGGCUAACUCCGUGCCAGCCGCCGCA